GACGAACCGAGCGAACGUUGUUCGGAAUCACUGGGCUUAAAGGGCGCGUAGGCGGGCGGCCGCGUCCGGGGUGAAAUCCCACGGCUCAACCGUGGAACGGCCUCGGAUACGGGCGGCCUGGAGGCGGGUAGGGGCAGGCGGAACUGUGGGUGGAGCGGUGAAAUGCGUUGAGAUCCACAGGAACUCCGGUGGCGAAGGCGGCCUGCUGGACCCGAACUGGCGCUGAGGCGCGAAAGCCAGGGGAGCGAACGGG
rnacentral:rRNA from 1 species